rnacentral:tRNA from 1 species
CGCGAGGUAGAGCAGCGGUAGCUCGUUGGGCUCAUAACCCAAAGGUCACUGGUUCGAUCCCAGUCCUCGCAA